rnacentral:rRNA from 1 species
GGAAUAUUGGGCAAUGGAGGAAACUCUGACCCAGCAACGCCGCGUGAAUGAUGAAGGUCUUCGGAUUGUAAAGUUCUUUUCUAAGGGAAGAAGAAAGUGACGGUACCUUAGGAAUAAGCCUCGGCUAACUACGUGCCAGCAGCCGCGGUAAUACGUAGGGGGCAAGCGUUAUCCGGAUUUACUGGGUGUAAAGGGAGCGUAGACGGUUAUGCAAGUCUGGAGUGAAAGCCCGGGGCUCAACCCCGGGACUGCUUUGGAAACUGUAAAACUGGAGUGCAGGAGAGGCAGGCGGAAUUCCUAGUGUAGCGGUGAAAUGCGUAGAUAUUAGGAGGAACACCAGUGGCGAAGGCGGCCUGCUGGACUGUAACUGACGUUGAGGCUCGAAGGCGUGGGGAGCAAACAG